CACAGAGACACAGACACACAUACAUACAGAGACACAGACACACACACACAUACAGAGACAGAGACACAGACACACACACACAUACAGAGACACACACACAUACAGAGACACAGACACACACACACAUUCAGAGACACACAGAUACAUACAGACACACACAUAGAGAGACACACACACAUACAGAGACACAGACACACAUACAGAGACACACACACAGACACACACAUACGGAGACACACACAUACAGAGACACACACACACACACAUACAGAGACAGACACACACAAAACAGAGACACACACACAUACACAAAAUGUUUCCUCUUUCCUACCUUUUGUGACUUUCCCUGGGGUCCAGUGGGGGCUCAGCAUGAUGGGAGUCAGAUUUCCCACUCUGACUCCCUCCUCCUUCCUGCUUCCUCCCAUGCGGGCUCUGAUAGCUGGGAGGGGUGACCAGGGAGUCACUUUCUCCCAGCUGUGAUGUCAUCACAGGGGGCCUGGUC